GUGGUUUGCCAUCUGGCCGGGUGCGCGCUCAGGUCUGGCUCCCCUUUCGAGAGGUGAAUUUACAACCCAAGAAGCAUUACUCAGCAGGGAGGGAGAGUCCCGUAUUCUCAGAGUAAAAGUUGUUUCUGGAAUUGAUCUCGCCA
rnacentral:sRNA from 1 species